rnacentral:rRNA from 1 species
UACGAAGGGUGCUAGCGUUGUUCGGAAUCACUGGGCGUAAAGCGCGCGUAGGCGGUUAUUCAAGUCAGGGGUGAAAUCCUGAGGCUCAACCUCAGAAUUGCCUUUGAAACUGUAUGACUGGAGUGUCGGAGGGGAUAGCGGAAUUGCUAAUGUAGCGGUGAAAUGCGUAGAUAUUAGCAGGAACACCGGUGGCGAAGGCGGCUAUCUGGACGACAACUGACGCUGAGGCGCGAAAGCGUGGGGAUCAAAC